ensembl:misc_RNA Metazoa_SRP Metazoan signal recognition particle RNA
GCUGGGCAUGGUGGCUCAUGUCUGUAAUCCCAACACUUUGGGAGGCUGAGGUGGGAGAAUCACUUGAGCCCAGGAGUUCAAGAUCAGCCUGGGCAACAAAGAGAGAUCACACCUCUA